rnacentral:rRNA from 1 species
CUUUACUAUAACUUUGCAGUGGCAUUAGAAAUAGCAUGUGUAGCAUAGUUGGGACGCUUUGAAACCUGGGCGCUAGCUUGGGCGGAGCGGAAAUGUGAAAUACCAACCUUGUUGUUUCUGAUGUCUAACCGGAACUGUUAUCCAGUUUCGGGACCCUGCAUGGCGGGUAGUUUGACUGGGGCGGUCGCCUCCCAAAUUGUAACGGAGGCGCGCAAUGGUUGGCUCAAUCUGGUCGGAAAUCAGAUUUAGAGUGUAUUGGCAUAAGCCAGCCUGACUGCAAGACUGACAAGUCGAGCAGAGACGAAAGUCGGUCAAAGUGAUCCGGUGAUUCUGUAUGGAAGGGUCAUCGCUCAACGAAUAAAAGGUA